UACGUAGGGUGCGAGCGUUAAUCGGAUUUACUGGGCGUAAAGCGUGCGCAGGCGGCCCGUUAAGACAGGUGUGAAAUCCCUGGGCUCAACCUAGGAAUUGCGCUUGUGACUGGCGGGCUCGAGUACGGUAGAGGGGGGAGGAAUUCCUGGUGUAGCAGUGAAAUGCGUAGAGAUCAGGAGGAACACCGAUGGCGAAGGCAGCCCCCUGGGCCUGUACUGACGCUCAUGCACGAAAGCGUGGGGAGCAAACAGG
rnacentral:rRNA from 1 species